CACGCACUAAAAAAACCUACGCUCCUCUCGAUCCCCUCGACGCACGCUCCUCUCGCCCCUCCUCUCGAUCCACCCCCUUUCGCUGUGUUUUCUCUUUCCCUCGUAUCCCACUCCGCCGCCUCCCGCCUUCCUCCGCCACCGCCGCCCCUCACCCUGCCUGCCUGCCUUGGUUUUUGGGCAUCCCACUCCUCCGCUGCCAUAUGCCGCCUCCGCCAAGAUCCGAGGCCCCCACUUGUGGGCCGCCGCCGCCACAGAACCUCGGGGAAGGGCGGGGCAGGGCGCAGUCUUCCUCCUCCGCCGCCAUCUGGUCCCCCUCCGCUCCCAUCUGCCGCCGCCGUGGAAACAUGGGACGCCGCUGUCGCUGCCGCCGAAUCCAAGGGACGUCGCAGCCGUCGCGGAUCGGCAGGACGCCGCCGUCGCAAAUCGGCGAGACGCCGCCGCCGCUAUCGCCUCGGAUCACCAGGAUGCCGCCGUCGCAGAUCACCAGGUCACCGCCGUCGGCUCGGAUCUUCACACGCCGCCGGCGUGGCCGUGACGACUGAUGAGCACGCUCAGCCCCCAUUCCUGCCACAGGGGAAGCUAGAGGCAGAGAACUGUCGGUCUUGCAUAUGUCAGUGACGGUCCCUGAUCAGGUUGUUGCACGCGAAUGACAACAAUUGGUUCAUAACGAACCAAUAUGUAGGACAUGCCAUUCGACCUUCUUAUAGAAGUGAACAAUCAUUUCCAGAGCAUUAUAUUAGCUGGACUUUUUAUGAGGUAUGAGCAAGUUGAGAGUUUCGAGUGGGUAUAUUUUCUGAGUUCCUAAAUAUGAUCAGUGGGCCGGCGCCGAAGUCCAUCUUGACAGGUAGGUAGAUUGAGAUAAUUUGUAUGUCUCAAGGUUGUUAUCUGGUUCAUUAGUGUGCCGAGGCUCUGUAGAUCAAAACAGAGCCAUGAAGGUUGCUAUGAGCAAACUAUGUCCAGGGAAUUGAACAACUGUAGCUCACCUUACUGGUGGAUCUGUUGUUAAUAUUUAUUAUUUCACUGCUCCGAGUUCUUUUGUUAGAUAUGUUGUGUGAUUAUACUGUGUAUGUUUAUUUGAGGAAAAUGACAAUUGAUUGCAAGUGAAGUCUUGGGUAUGUUUAGCUGAAAUUUGCUGAAGUGAGCACUCGUGGGUAGUAACAGUGAAACCAUCGUGUAUUUGCCCAAGUGUUCAGUCUUUUAAAUUGUUUGUGAAAUGGUUAGAACUAAAAGAUCACCUUCAUUUAAUAUUGAUUUUGAGAGUAAUGUUUUUAGAAACUUCAGACUAAUUCGGAGGUGAGGAGGAUGACGACGCCACCGCACCGUCGCACACCUCAAUAAGGCGAGGACCACUAAGUCGCCGGGGCGAGGAGCCUACCUCCGCGCCACUCCAUGAGGCGAGGGGCUCCCCAGAACUGCUGCUCCAUUAUGCUCCUCUCUUGAGGUAUUUGUUCUUCAGCUUGAGAAUUAUUGUUCAGCUCCUGCACAUAGUUCUCUAUUUGCUCCAUUGACAGUCAGCUUAUACAUUAGCAUAUGAAUUAGAUGAACAUGGAGCAAAGGAGUAUGCAUGGUUGUACCUUGCCCAGAACAUGUAACCAUAUUUGUUUGGAGUAUUUUCUUAGCCAUGAGUAUGUCAUGAUGAUCCUCUGUACAGGCUCUAAGAUGUACUACAAUAUGGUUACAUCUACUCCAUUCACCAUGGUGAUAAUCAAUUUAUUUUUUUCCCUUUCUAUUGUUUGAUUGUAUUGCCUUUAAGUCAUAUAUUAGAGAUUUUAGUAGAGUCAGGUCUCUACCAGUGAAGGUCAUGGCUAAGGAAACGGGACUGGCGGAUUUCCUCCUCGUCCUGGACAAGACGUCAUGACACAGUUGUGAUGAGGUGUGGCGCAAGCGUGGCUGUAGGAUCCCUCCUAUGAAGCCAGGCAAUGACAUCAUCGGAUCCUCACUGGUACGCAGAGCUGUCGCGUGGAUCCGACAGGUGGCAGGGGCGUGUGACUAAUCAGAUGGUGCUGAAGGAUCUUGUAGUAUGCAAGUAUGGAGCAAUUUCUAAAAUGGCUUGCAUGAUGUCACAUGUCAUCCUUGGCAUCUAUCUCUUUCGCACUACUACCUGCAGCUGGAGGCAUCAUGCCUAGAAAGGUGAUUCCGUACUGUUUUUCUGAAACCUCGGCUAUACUCGUGAUUUCUUGUCUCAUUAAUCUCACGGCUACACAGGACAACUUCUGAAUAUAUUACAGUUAAUGCCUUUCUUCUUGGAGCUUUUGUGUACUAGACUAGCAUGAUUUGUCGGGAUGUGGAUUGCGGGAUGUGCAAAUUUUAGUUUCAAGUGCUGCUUGGGGGUCUGCAACGAAAGUGUUGCAGGUUUUACUUGUUAUCUAUGGUGUUUGUCUUUCAUGCGUUUCCCCCUUCUUCGAUUUGAAAUAGUGAAUAAUUUACCAAAACAGUUUGGUAUUUGUGCAGCUGAUUUCUCAGCCAUGGCAUGGCUGUAUUUAGUGUGGCACUACUUUAUGCAACAUUUUAUGUUUGGCUUGGAGUAUAGAUUCACCUGAUUCAAUGAAGGUUACGGACAGUAAGUAACUUGCAAGCAUGAAUUUUUUCCACCAUUAAAUCUACUCCUUUUUUCCUAUGUUUACAUGCCCCCACAUAUUUACGGGUUCAACUUUUGACCAACUAAUCGUGGGUUAGUUCAUAAAAAUUAUACCAUUGAAUUUCUAUUAUAAAAUAGUUUCUAGUAGUAUAUAUAUUUUCUGACAUGUGAAUCAUCUAUUAUUGGUCAAUGUUCAAACACAAAACCUGAGGGCGCCAUGUAAAUAGAGAUGGAGGUAGUAGUUAUUAGUUUUCGCAAUGUAUACAUUUUUAAACUAUCAGUUUCUUUUAAGAAUUGAUGCGUACGCGUUCGAUUGAUGUCGCGAAUUCAACAAGUGCUUUGAUGUCUCUGUCUACAAGUUUGUGAGUUAGAUUGGUUCAGUAAAUGGCCUAAACUGUUGGAGGAGUCUGUGGUUGUGAUGGUACGUUCAUACGUUGUCGUUGGUAUCGUUCGCUUCCUCCCCCGCAGUGCUCCAUCGUCGAUGGAAGGAUCUCCUCGCCGAUUUUUUCCAAACAAACCGCACCCCGUCUGUUUGUUUCCAUUCAAAUUUCACUCCCAUGACAUGACAACCGAUCCCUUCCCAUCCCACUCUUUCCUUGCAAAAGCAUAACAGAAUCGAAACUUGCCUUGCCUUGACCGACACAUUCCCAACGGAUUUCACAAAUCAAUCUUCAUCCAAUCCACCGUAGUUGCCGCUGAUCCCCUUUCAUCAUCCCCGUUGUCCCGCCUUCCAAUUAGCCAUCUUCCAUUGCAAUCAUCGAGCCCUACCAUGCAAGCAGUCCUACGAGGCUACGACUCUCGUGGUGCUUGUGGCCUCCAGCGCGCUAGCCGGGGCCAGGGGUGGACUAAGUUUCGGUGCUGUCUCUGGUGGAGACGAAGAGAUGCAUCUGCACGAGAAGAACCUGCAGAAGAAGAUGUCGGUGUGGACGGAGAGGCGGACGCAGCAGGAGGCGUGUGUGGCGCAAGCGCGGGCUUAACUUGUGGGCGCGGAUUAGGGAAGAGGCCAUCUCGGUGGCGGCUUGUGACCUGGGGGAUGCGCUAGCACACGAGCCCGGUGACCAUCAUGUGUGCGUUCUGGACGUACCAUGUGGUGUAUGCCACAAUGCCAUGUGGGUUGGGCCUGCAUGAAAUGCCGAUCUGUAGCACAUCCUCCAUCGCCUCAUCACUGGCUGCUCAAGGGCAGCAUCACACGAUCAGCAAGGCCUGUGACAACAUCUUCAUGCCCAACUCUCACUCUGCUGUCGCCCAUUCAGCGUACUCGCCAAGCCUAGGGGUGGAAUGGUGGAUGGUUCUUUGAUGCUAGCACAGCUGACCGCAAGAAGCAGAGGGAGGGAGGCUAUCGCGUUGAAGAAGACGUCGUCGCCCCGACAAUGGAAAUGUGGUUUCUCGGACCUAGCCGGAAGGAGGCCGAUGGCUUCCCGUUGUAGAAACACGAUGCUGAAGCGACAACACGCCAGGUUCUAUUUCUACACCAUUUUUCUAUUACCAGUAAUUACUCGAGUAUGUGAACAAAAUCUGAACUGUAAGUUGCGAUAUUUGCUAUGUCUAUAAGGUUACAAAUAGAAAGGCGCCAAUUCAAUUGAUUGUCAGAUUUAGAAUAGUAUGUGUUCAGUAGCUUCUUCUAUCUCAAUCUGGUUUUUAUGUUGUUUGUGUUUGAAUUAAUUAGCACUUUGACCAUCGUGUUUGUUCAGCCUUAAAGGUGAUUAGUGAAGGAAAUAUGCCCUAGAGGCAAAACUAAAGUUAUUAUUUUAUUUCCUUAUAUCAUGAUAAAUGUUUAUUGUUCAUGCUA